rnacentral:rRNA from 1 species
CCUACGGGAGGCAGCAGUGGGGAAUAUUGCACAAUGGGGGAAACCCUGAUGCAGCCACGCCGCGUGAAUGAAGAAGUAAUUCGUUGUGUAAAGCUCUUUCUGUAGGGAAGAAAAUGACGGUAACUGAGUAGCAAGCCACGUCUAACUACGUGACAGCAGCCGCGGUAAUACGUAGGGGGCAAGCGUUAUUCGGAUUUACUGGGGUUAAAGGGUGCGUAGUCGGGAGUGCAAGUCAGGAGUGAAAGGCGGGGGCUCAACCGCAGGACUGCGGUGGAAACUGUAAGGCUGGAGUUCAGGAGAGGUAGGUGGAAUGCGUGGUGUAGCGGUGAAAUGCGUAGAUAUUAGGAGGAACACCAGUGGCGAAGGCGGCUUACUGGACUGUAACUGACGUUGAGGCUCGAAAGUGUGGGUAGCAAACAGGAUUAGAUACCCGAGUAGUC